UGCCAGCAGCCGCGGUAAUACGGAGGGGGCUAGCGUUGUUCGGAAUCACUGGGCGUAAAGCGCGCGUAGGCGGAUCGGUCAGUCAGGGGUGAAAUCCCGAGGCUCAACCUCGGAACUGCCUCUGAUACUGCCGAUCUCGAGUCCGGGAGAGGUGAGUGGAAUUCCUAGUGUAGAGGUGAAAUUCGUAGAUAUUAGGAAGAACACCAGUGGCGAAGGCGGCUCACUGGCCCGGUACUGACGCUGAGGUGCGAAAGCGUGGGGAGCAAACAGGAUUAGAUA
rnacentral:rRNA from 1 species